rnacentral:rRNA from 1 species
UACGUAGGGUGCGAGCGUUGUCCGGAAUUACUGGGCGUAAAGGGCGCGUAGGCGGCCUUCUAAGUCGAACGUGAAAUCCCCGGGCUCAACCCGGGAACUGCGUCCGAUACUGGGAGGCUUGAAUCCGGGAGAGGGAUGUGGAAUUCCAGGUGUAGCGGUGAAAUGCGUAGAUAUCGGGAGGAACACCAGUGGCGAAGGCGACUUCCUGGCCUGUUCUUGACGCUGAGGCGCGAAAGCUAGGGGAGCAAACGGG